GGCACACUUCACGCUCUUCACCACCAGGGGGAUGACCGCUGCCAGUUCGUUUUUCCCCAGCGAGUGGCUGAGCGCACACGCCCACAGCACGUCGUUGAUGGCCGGGUGCGUGUCUUGGUUGUAGCUGAGGUUCAGGGCUGUGACAUUAUAUGGCCUGGCCCCCACUCUGCAUCACCAACUGGCAUGUUCUCAAUGAAUCCAUUCAAACUGUGCUCGCAGAAACAGGGACUCCUUUUCACUCCCCCACCAUUCACCAGAAAUCAUCUGGGAGGAGGGUUUUCCCCUCUGGAGCUUCCUGUCCACUUCAGGGAAAUCAGCCACUGGGUUUCAGUAUUCAAGUCCAAACAUAAGGCCCACUUAAUCAGCCCGAAGCCCACAAUCUUCCAUAAUUACUGCUCUGCCAGUCAUUCCCUCCCCUCCUGCUGAGAGGCCUCCAAAAUCCACUGUGAACGUCUGGUGAAGGCGGACCUGAAGGCCCGGUGUUUACCGUGGCCCAGCUCCAGGGAGACUUUGAGCAGUGUGAUGUCCGGCAGGCUGUCCAUGAGAGUGGCGAUUUUGAAGGCAUCCUGGGCCAGUUUGAAGAUGUGGGAUGAGGAGUGGAUGUUCUUCUGGAUGGAUUCUAACACUGUUUGCAGCUUACGAGCGUCGCCUGAAGACAAACAGUGAAAGAAAGCAGUGAGCAUGGUGGAGGCCAGUUCACACUGUUGGGUCUCUAUGUGGCUGAGAGUGAACCAGCGAGGGUAGCGGUUGGGCACCACCGACACUAUAUGGUGAGGCCGGGACAAGUCAGCGGAGGGGGCCGUGGACUCCAGGACCGGCAACCUGAGUGCAGAGGAAAACUUUAUUAGGCACAGACGGAGAGACGCAAACACACAGAAACUCGUCUGUCCACUCUGACGAACAUCUCUUGGAGCUCUGUUUCGUCUUUCAUCACCACGAGUACAACGUCACGAUGCCGGGUGGAAGCGGUUUUACUCAGAGCCACAGGGUGGUACGACGAAAAAAGAUAAGUACAGAAAAUUACGUGUAUUCGUUUCAUUAUUGCUUUUCUCUAAGGUCGUAAUUCAGUUUAAUCUAAACCAACGUUUUAAAGGGUACGACUGACAUUAUUCCAUGUGUUAGUUCAUCUCUCCAUACUUUCUGACGUGUUUCUUUACUGUAAACUGACAAAUAAACUUGGGCUGGAAAAAAAUGGCUAAAUCUCUUGUUCAUUUAUGCCCAUAGGCCACGAUUCAAGACGUGAGAACAGCAUCAGACCCUCGCGUUAGAGAAUCUAGAACCUGAAAGUGCUUCACGAUGUCUGAGCCUCACUCACCCUCUAGCAGGUAAACCGCUUGCUUCCGGAAGAUCUUCACCAACGAGUCGUCUAAAUUGACUUCUUGGAGCUUGGCCAAUAGCUGCUCUUCGUUGCGACACACUUUCUCCUGGGCGUAGAGGCCGUCUGGCAUCACCCUCUGUUGGCCCAAACCAAUCAGAGCCGUCUCCGCAGCCAGCGACACGAACGACUCCCCCUCCUCCAGGAAACGCUGCGCCGGGAAGACAGGAUGCUCCGUCCUCCUGCCUGAACCUGUGGGGGGGGGUGAAGCAGACGAUUCAGAUUCAAUAAGCAGAUUCAGAACUGGAUUGUGAUUCGAUAAAAUGCUAUGGAAACUCAUCCCUAGUGAGAGAGAUGACUCAGGUAGGAAAAUGUUCCCUAUGGGCUGUGGAGCUGAGUAUUGAUACAUCUAUUGAUCUAUUUGUUCACUCUGGUGUUCCUGUUUCAGAGUGUAUUCUCCUGAGGAUGGUAAUCAUGUGUUUUAAUGGCUUAAUGAUGUCUUAGCAGACCUCACAGUUCAUCCCAGGAGGGCUAACAGUCCCUAAUGAAUACACACACACACACUCAGAUAUAAAUAGAGUCUUAAUUGAAAACUUUCACAACUUUUUCUAUGCAGUGGCUUCAACAUGUUGCCGAUCACUUCACCUACUUUCCAAGAGAAACUCACUGUGGCUGAGAGCUGCCGCGACCGUCCUCUCUGGCUACAGUGAGCUGGAAUUCGUGGAGCUGAGCUCCCUGCAUAAUUAAUGCAUUUUAAUUGGAGUGUUUUUCCUGCUGCAUUUCUAAUUCAUGAGCUGUUAUUGGAGGAUGACUGCAGGCCAAUCAGCGCGUCUGUGUCAUCACUGCUGAUUGCGACCUGAGGGCCCGGAGCUCUGACAGGAAGACGCAAUCACUGCAGUGUAAAUGUGUGUUCAGUGUCUGCAGCAGUAUCUGUAUCACUGCAUUUACUGCAUUUACUCACUACAGUUAUUCAAGUGGGAAAAAAACUGUAUCAGAACUUUGAUUUUUAUGUUGUUUUUCUUUGAAACGUUUUGCUGUUAAAGCCCUUUGAAUUGUCUUUGUGUGUGGAACUCGCUGCCUCAGUAAAGGACCUGAGUACUUCCUCCUGUGUUGUGUGUCGGUGUUUACCUGAGAAGUCGAGCAGGACCGUGGCUCCGUCCUCGCUGCCCUGCCCCGUCUCCAUCAGGGUGCUGAACAGAGUCCCGAUGGGGUCCAGAGGGUGGCCCACCCAGCCCUCCAGGUGUCUGAAAAGAAGAGAUGCAGCCGCAACUUCUGUGGACAACAAAUCCUGGUCCAAUGUGCAACUUAUACAGAAGAGAAGUAGAAACCCGAAACCUCCAGAGGACACAGUAACACAGAGCAACUGAAAACUCUUCGGAUCUGGACCAGAUUAGAUCUGAAUAACUGACUGAAGAUGUGAUGAAUCAGAAAAACAUUUGCCUGCGUGAAUUGUUUUCACCAGUUUGUUUCUUAAUGUCUUUUAUUACUGUUAAUUGUUCUGCAGCUUUUAGCACACUGUUAAAAUAUUUACUAUUUCCUUAAUCAUUGUUUUUCCUCUGUAAAACAAAAUCUUAAGGGCUUCUGCUUUCAUGAAAGAAUACAGCCAUUUUAAACUGGAACUGUAAAAUCUAACUUUACUUUUUAUUGCAGGCAAAAGUGUCUGAGAUGGUUUGAUUGUAUUAUGAUUGACAGAAGGCUCCUGCAGAACAUAUUAAAUAUGAAAUCAUGAAUAUGUGAAGGUUUAUGGCCUAAUAUUAAAUGUUCUGACACGUCUGUAAAAUGUGA